rnacentral:misc_RNA from 1 species
CCUCCUUCUCCGGCCUGUCGCCCGCACCGCACGGCUGGAGCGCACUCUUUGCGUCGUCUUACUCCUGCCAGAGCGGUUGUCGGCGUGCGGACGAGCGGGCGAGGGGAUGAGGGCGAGAGGGGCA